UUCCCGGAGCGAGUCGCUAGGUAACAGGGCUGGCUCCGCAGACCCGGGCCGGGGAAGCCCGCGCGCGUCGUCAGCAUCUGCGCCGCGGGGCGGGGAACGCACUGACCCUCCCCUAUAGGGGCCUGCAGACCCCCUCCGCUGGCUCGCAGUCCCCUCCCUGGAUGCCUUAAGGGCGGCCACUGCUGCCGCGGAGUUGCCCCUCCCCUGCGGGGACCCCGACGUCGCCGCCCUCUUCUCCUCCCACGCUGGUCCGCACCACUCUCCGCACGGCCAGCCGCCCUCUGCGAUCUUCCCGCCGAGCCCAGGCGCGGGGCAUGAGGAGCCCCUGGGUGUCGCCUGCAGACAACCCAGCCUCGCGCACACCUCGCCAGUCGCUGACAGAGACAUGAGCAGCAUGAUUGGGUUCCGGUGUCCGGCGGCCAGCCUCAGCCGGAGACGGCCAGUGGGUCUGCGCUGCUUGGGAGAAUGAGGCAGGAACCCACGGCCACCUCUCCUUCCUCCUUCUCGCCUUCCUCUGGCUCCCGCGCCCCGGACCUGGGCCGGGCUGUGGCUCUGCUGCGUGCCCUGCGCGCCCCCCACCUGCCUCCGGAUGCUCUUCUCGGAUAACCUGUCGAGGAAGAUAAAGACAUUUGCCACCAAGAUGGUAAUCACGAGCGGAAAUGACGAAGACCGGGGAGGCCAAGAGAAAGAGAGCAAAGAAGAGAGCGUGUUGGCCAUGCUGGGCAUCAUCGGGACCAUCCUGAACCUGAUCGUCAUCAUCUUCGUAUACAUAUAUACCACUCUAUGAAAGGCCCCGCGAAGCCUUGGUGGCCUCGGGAUGGCCACGAGACAAGGCUCCCGUGCGUCCGCGUAUCGGUGACCACACACUGUCGGGGGCUGGCAGGUUCGAAGACCACACACUGCUCCAUCAAUGCGCCUUCGAACUUCCUGACGGGUCACCAGAUGAACCCGUCCUGCUCUGAGGAGCACACACUCUGAAGCACAAUGGAUCCAGCGGAACUCAUUCAGGCCACGAGGAACUCAGCGUCUCUGGCAGGGGACCAGGCAGGAUGCCAGAAAGGCCAGCCUUCUGCACCAGCGGUGAGCAUAUGGGUGAGGAAAUGCUUCACCUUGGAAGGCUGACCGCAUCCCACACUGGAAAGAGGAUGCAUGGGGCGGUCACAGCUCUGCUGUCCUCCUCCCAGGACCAGCAGGAUAAGCGCUAGGUGCGGUUCGCCGACAGGCGUUCUGUUCAUCAAAUGUUUCCAGCUGUUUGAUACGGGAGAGAACUUAUUUUUCCUUUUUCAUUGGCUUGAUGUGUGUAUCUGUUCAUAUCGAGGUUUAUAAAUCUAUAUUUUUAAUAAAUGUGCUCUAUUUUUUAGCAUGAACCAAA